UACGGGGGGGAGCAAGCGUUGUUCGGAUUUACUGGGCGUAAAGGGCGCGUAGGCGGCCACCGCAAGUCGACUGUGAAAUCUCCGGGCUUAACCCGGAAAGGUCAGCCGAUACUGCGGGGCUAGAGUGCAGAAGGGGCAACUGGAAUUCUCGGUGUAGCGGUGAAAUGCGUAGAUAUCGAGAGGAACACCGGUGGCGAAGGCGGGUCUCUGGGCCGAUACUGACGCUGAGGAGCGAAAGCGUGGGGAGCGAACAGG
rnacentral:rRNA from 1 species